rnacentral:rRNA from 1 species
GACAGAGGGUGCAAACGUUGCUCGGAAUUACUGGGCGUAAAGCGCGUGUAGGUGGUCUGGUCAGUCGGACGUGAAAGCCCGGGGCUCAACCCCGGAAGUGCAUUCGAUACUGCCAGGCUGGAGUACUGAAGAGGAGAGCGGAAUUCCCGGUGUAGAGGUGAAAUUCGUAGAUAUCGGGAGGAACACCAGUGGCGAAGGCGGCUCUCUGGGCAGAUACUGACACUGAGACGCGAAAGCGUGGGGAGCAAACAGG